rnacentral:rRNA from 1 species
GUGGGGAAUUUUGGACAAUGGGGGCAACCCUGAUCCAGCAAUGCCGCGUGUGUGAAGAAGGCCUUCGGGUUGUAAAGCACUUUUGUCCGGAAAGAAAACGUCUUGGUUAAUACCUGAGGCGGAUGACGGUACCGGAAGAAUAAGCACCGGCUAACUACGUGCCAGCAGCCGCGGUAAUACGUAGGGUGCGAGCGUUAAUCGGAAUUACUGGGCGUAAAGCGUGCGCAGGCGGUCUGUUAAGACCGAUGUGAAAUCCCCGGGCUUAACCUGGGAACUGCAUUGGUGACUGGCAGGCUUUGAGUGUGGCAGAGGGGGGUAGAAUUCCACGUGUAGCAGUGAAAUGCGUAGAGAUGUGGAGGAAUACCGAUGGCGAAGGCAGCCCCCUGGGCCAACACUGACGCUCAUGCACGAAAGCGUGGGGAGCAAACAGG